GAUGAACGCUGGCGGCGUGCCUAAUACAUGCAAGUCGAGCGAACAGAUGAGGAGCUUGCUCCUCUGACGUUAGCGGCGGACGGGUGAGUAACACGUGGAUAACCUACCUAUAAGACUGGGAUAGCUUCGGGAAACCGGAGCUAAUACCGGAUAAUAUAUUGAACCGCAUGGUUCAAUAGUGAAAGACGGUUUUGCUGUCACUUAUAGAUGGAUCCGCGCCGCAUUAGCUAGUUGGUAAGGUAACGGCUUACCAAGGCAACGAUGCGUAGCCGACCUGAGAGGGUGAUCGGCCACACUGGGACUGAGACACGGUCCAGACUCCUACGGGAGGCAGCAGUAGGGAAUCUUCCGCAAUGGGCGAAAGCCUGACGGAGCAACGCCGCGUGAGUGAUGAAGGUCUUCGGAUCGUAAAACUCUGUUAUUAGGGAAGAACAAAUGUGUAAGUAACUAUGCACGUCUUGACGGUACCUAAUCAGAAAGCCACGGCUAACUACGUG
rnacentral:rRNA from 1 species